rnacentral:rRNA from 1 species
UAGAGUUUGAUCCUGGCUCAGAUUGAACGCUGGCGGCAGGCCUAACACAUGCAAGUCGAGCGGAUGAUGGGAGCUUGCUCCCGGAUUCAGCGGCGGACGGGUGAGUAAUGCCUAGGAAUCUGCCUGGUAGUGGGGGACAACGUUUCGAAAGGAACGCUAAUACCGCAUACGUCCUACGGGAGAAAGCAGGGGACCUUCGGGCCUUGCGCUAUCAGAGGAGCCUAGGUCGGAUUAGCUAGUUGGUGGGGUAAAGGCCUACCAAGGCGACGAUCCGUAACUGGUCUGAGAGGAUGAUCAGUCACACUGGAACUGAGACACGGUCCAGACUCCUACGGGAGGCAGCAGUGGGGAAUAUUGGACAAUGGGCGAAAGCCUGAUCCAGCCAUGCCGCGUGUGUGAAGAAGGUCUUCGGAUUGUAAAGCACUUUAAGUUGGGAGGAAGGGCAGUAAGUUAAUACCUUGCUGUUUUGACGUUACCAACAGAAUAAGCACCGGCUAACUUCGUGCCAGCAGCCGCGGUAAUACGAAGGGUGCAAGCGUUAAUCGGAAUUACUGGGCGUAAAGCGCGCGUAGGUGGUUUGGUAAGAUGGAUGUGAAAUCCCCGGGCUCAACCUGGGAACUGCAUCCAUAACUGCCUGACUAGAGUACGGUAGAGGGUGGUGGAAUUUCCUGUGUAGCGGUGAAAUGCGUAGAUAUAGGAAGGAACACCAGUGGCGAAGGCGACCACCUGGACUGAUACUGACACUGA